rnacentral:rRNA from 1 species
AGAGUUUGAUCAUGGCUCAGAGCGAACGCUAGCGGCGGGCCUAACACAUGCAAGUCGAGCGGGGGAGCAAUCCCCAGCGGCGGACGGGUGAGUAACACGUAGGUUAUGUGCCCUUUGGUGGGGAACAACCGUGCGAAAGCAUGGCUAAUACCGCAUAUGUCGAGAGAUGAAAGCCCUCGGGCGCCAGUAGAGCAGCCUGCGUCCCAUUAUUUAGUCCUAGUUGGUGAGGUAACGGCUCACCAAGGGUACGAUGGGUAGCUGGUCUGAGAGGAUGAUCAGCCACACUGGAACUGAGACACGGUCCAGACUCCUACGGGAGGCAGCAGUGGGGAAUGUUGCGCAAUGGGCGAAAGCCUGACGCAGCCACGCCGCGCGAGUGAUGAAGGCCUUCGGGUUGUAAAGCUCUGUCGGGAGGGAAGAAGGCGCAAGCCUGACGGUACCUCGCAAGAAAGCACCGGCUAACUCUGUG